rnacentral:rRNA from 1 species
AGUGAACGCUGGCGGUAGGCCUAACACAUGCAAGUCGAACGGCCGCACAGUAAGAGCUUGCUCUUACGGGUGGCGAGUGGCGGACGGGUGAGGAAUACAUCGGAAUCUACUUUUUCGUGGGUGAUAACGUAGGGAAACUUACGCUAAUACCGCAUACGACCUACGGGUGAAAGCAGGGGAUCUUCGGACCUUGCGCGAUUGAAUGAGCCGAUGUCGGAUUAGCUAGUUGGCGGGGUAAAGGCCCACCAAGGCGACGAUGCGUAGCUGGUCUGAGAGGAUGAUCAGCCACACUGGAACUGAGACACGGUCCAGACUCCUACGGGAGGCAGCAGUGGGGAAUAUUGGACAAUGGGCGCAAGCCUGAUCCAGCCAUACCGCGUGGGUGAAGAAGGCCUUCGGGUCGUAAAGCCCUUUUGUUGGGAAAGAAAAGCAGCAGGUUAAUACCCCGAUGUUCUGACGGUACCCAAAGAAUAAGCACCGGCUAACUUCGUG